rnacentral:rRNA from 1 species
UACAGAGGGGGCAAGCGUUGUUCGGAAUUACUGGGCGUAAAGGGCGCGUAGGCGGCCUGUUAAGUCAGACGUGAAAUCCCUCGGCUCAACCGGGGAACUGCGUCUGAUACUGCCUGGCUUGAGUUCGGGAGAGGGAAGCGGAAUUCCGGGUGUAGCGGUGAAAUGCGUAGAUAUCCGGAGGAACACCGGUGGCGAAGGCGGCUUCCUGGACCGACACUGACGCUGAGGCGCGAAAGCUAGGGGAGCAAACGGG